UACGGGGGGGGCAAGCGUUGUUCGGAAUUACUGGGCGUAAAGGGCUCGUAGGCGGCCAACUAAGUCAGACGUGAAAUCCCUCAGCUUAACUGGGGAACUGCGUCUGAUACUGGAUGGCUUGGAUUCGGGAGAGGAAUGCGGAAUUCCAGGUGUAGCGGUGAAAUGCGUAGAUAUCUGGAGGAACACCGGUGGCGAAGGCGGCAUUCUGGACCGAUAUUGACGCUGAGGCGCGAAAGCCAGGGGAGCAAACGGG
rnacentral:rRNA from 1 species